rnacentral:rRNA from 1 species
GAUGAACGCUGGCGGCGUGCCUAAUACAUGCAAGUCGAGCGAACAGACGAGGAGCUUGCUCCUCUGACGUUAGCGGCGGACGGGUGAGUAACACGUGGAUAACCUACCUAUAAGACUGGGAUAACUUCGGGAAACCGGAGCUAAUACCGGAUAAUAUAUUGAACCGCAUGGUUCAAUAGUUAAAUACGGUUUUUCUGUCACUUAUAGAUGGAUCCGCGCCGCAUUAGCUAGUUGGUAAGGUAACGGCUUACCAAGGCAACGAUGCGUAGCCGACCUGAGAGGGUGAUCGGCCACACUGGAACUGAGACACGGUCCAGACUCCUACGGGAGGCAGCGGUAGGGAAUCUUCCGCAAUGGGCGAAAGCCUGACGGAGCAACGCCGCGUGAAUGAUGAAGGUCUUCGGAUCGUAAAACUCUGUUAUUAGGGAAGAACAAAUGUGUAAGUAACUAUGCACGUCUUGACGGUACCUAAUCAGAAAGCCACGGCUAACUACGUG